CCCUGUACCUCUCACCCUUGUGCACCUCCAAUACCUAGCCUGGGGGCUCGUGUUUGUUGAGUGAAUGAGUGAGGGGCUGGGGAGACUGACCCGUAGAGAAUUCUGUAGGAGCGGACUUGGCGGAGAGAGGCAGUGCUUCCUGGGAUCCCCUUCCAAAGAAACUACUUGCUCCCAAAUCCUUGUCUCGGGCUCUGCUUUGGAGGGAAUCCAAACUAUGACACUAACCUCCCACAUUCUCCGUGUCUGCCCCCAGUCUGCUGAAAACUCCUGGAGAAAGCAAUUCUGGUAGCUCUAUGUUAAAAUUUGUGUUCGGUGACGUCAGAUGCAGGAAUAGACAUGGAGGAAAAUUCAUCUGGGAGUAUAACGGCCAAUGGAUUCAACGGAGGCAAAGCUGGAGGCAGGGAGGCCAGCGGGAGGCCAUCACCCUCAGCCCUCUAAAAGAAGCCCCGAGCGGGCUGGAGGUGGCUACGGGAAACAGUCAGGAAUUGGUGAUUAUUUCAGAUACAAGAUCGCAUGUUAACCACACACGAAACUUGUAUUUUGGAAGGCAGGGCCGAGAUAAACGCUAUCUGGCUUCUGUAUUCAAGCAGAGCUCUUCGUCAAAGGAAACGGAAACAUUUGCCAGUUGCAGAAUGGAAAAACCGCACACGCUUAUCUGCCAGAGCUAUUUUGCUUAUAGACGAUCUAACAUUAGUCCAACAGUGGAGGUGACUUUCCAUACUCGCCCUGCCUCCUACCACCUUCUUUGAGGCAUCGAACGCUCCACCUACUUCCUCUUCAUUUUGUCUCGGCGAGGACUCUUGUUUGUAUCUUUGCCUUGUUGCUUUAUGACUUUUGGGUUUUGUGUGUGUGUGUGUGUCCCACUGAAAUAUGUACCAAAGUCCUCCCUGUUGCCUUGGUAAAUCUGUAUCUGGGAAUAAACCAAACAGGGAAAAAG